GUGGGGAAUAUUGGACAAUGGGCGAAAGCCUGAUCCAGCCAUGCCGCGUGUGUGAAGAAGGUCUUCGGAUUGUAAAGCACUUUAAGUUGGGAGGAAGGGCAGUAAGUUAAUACCUUGCUGUUUUGACGUUACCGACAGAAUAAGCACCGGCUAACUUCGUGCCAGCAGCCGCGGUAAUACGAAGGGUGCAAGCGUUAAUCGGAAUUACUGGGCGUAAAGCGCGAGUAGGUGGUUUUGUAAGUUGGAGGUGAAAUCCCCGGGCUCAACCUGGGAACUGCCUCCAAAACUGCAUGACUAGAGUACGGUAGAGUGUAGUUGAAUUUCCUGUGUAGCGGUGAAAUGCGUAGAUAUAGGAAGGAACACCAGUGGCGAAGGCGACUACCUGGACUGAUACUGACACUGAGGUGCGAAAGCGUGGGGAGCAAACAGGAUUAGAUACCCGUGUAGUCC
rnacentral:rRNA from 1 species